rnacentral:rRNA from 1 species
CACGGAGUUAGCCGGGGCUUCUUCUGCCGGUACCGUCAUUAUCUUCCCAGCUGAAAGAGCUUUACAACCCUAAGGCCUUCAUCACUCACGCGGCAUGGCUAGAUCAGGGUUGCCCCCAUUGUCUAAGAUUCCCCACUGCUGCCUCCCGUAGGAGUCUGGGCCGUGUCUCAGUCCCAGUGUGGCUGAUCAUCCUCUCAAACCAGCUAUGGAUCGUCGGCUUGGUAGGCCAUUACCCCACCAACUACCUAAUCCAACGCGGGCCGAUCCUUCUCCGAUAAAUCUUUCCCCCCGAAAGGGCGUAUGCGGUAUUACUCUCAGUUUCCCGAGGCUAUUCCGCAGAAAAGGGCACGUUCCCACGCGUUACUCACCCGUCCGCCGCUAGACCCGAAGGUCUCGCUCGACUUGCAUGUGUUAAGCCUGCCGCCAGCGUGUUCUGUAGCACGGAGUCAAACUAC